rnacentral:tRNA from 1 species
GGUCCUGUAGCUCAGUUGGAUAGAGCAACAGCCUUCUAAGCUGUGGGUCUUGGGUUCGAGUCCCAACAGGACUA